rnacentral:lncRNA from 1 species
UGAGGAACGGCGUCACUGGUUAGAGGGUUCGGUCCUUCCCUUCAUUGUGUGGAUGGAUCACAAAAAUCUAGCCUACUGUCACACCCUGACCAUAGUUUGCUUUCUAUGUUUUGGUUGGUCAGGGUGUGAGCUGAGUGGGCAUUCUGUUUCAUGUCUAGUUUGUCUAUUUCGAUAUGGUUCUCAGAGGCAGGUGUUAGUCAUUGUCUCUGAUUGGGAACCAUAUUUAGGUAGCCUGGGUUUCACUGUGUGUUUGUGGGUGAUUGUUCCUGUCUCUGUUUGCACCAGAUAGGACUGUUUCGGUUUUCACAUUUUCAUUAUUUUGGUAGUUUUUCAUGUAUAGGUUUCUCCUUUAUUAAAAUAACAUGAAUCAUCACAAUGCUGCAUUUUGGUCCGACUCUCCUUCACCACAAGAAAGCCGUUACAGAAUCACCCAACCACAACAGGACCAAGCGGCGUGGUAACAGGCAACAUGGACCUAUAGGGGAGGGCAGGAGCAGCGUGACAAGAAUUUCUGGACCUCUCGACGGGAGAGGAUCCUGGGCUAAACCAGGGGAGUGUAGCCGCCCCAAGGUGCAGCAAGAGAAGGAAUGGACAUGGGAGGACGAACUGGACGGUGAAGGACCCUGGGCUCAGCCUGGAGAAUAUCGCCGCCCCGAACUGGAGGCGACGAAAGCAGGGAGGCGCUGGUAUGAGGAGGCAGCACGGCGACGCGGAUGGAAGCCUGAGAGUCAGCCCCAAAAAAUUAUUGGGGGGGGGCUCACAGGGAGUAUGGCUAUGCCAGGUAGGAGACCUGCGCAAACUCCCUGUGCUUACCGGGGGGCUAGAGAGACCGGGCAGGCACCGUGUUAUGCAGUGGUGUGCACGGUGUCCCCAGUGCGGGUGCAUAGCCCGGUGCGGUAUAUUCCAGCUCCGCGUAUCGGCCGGGCUAGAUUGAGCGUCGAGCCAAAUGCCAUGAAGCCGGCUCUACGCAUCUGGUCCCCAGUGCGUCUCCUUGGGCCGGCUUACAUGGCACCAGCCUUGCGCACGGUGUCCCCGGUUCGCCUGCAUAGCCCAGUGCGGGCUAUUCCACCUCGCCGGGUAAGGUUGGGCAGGCUCGGUGCUCAAGAGCUCCAGUGCGCCUGCACGGUCCGGUCUAUCCAGUACCACCUUCACACACCAGCCCUCCGGUGGCAGCUCCCCGCACCAGGCUUCCUGUGCGUGUCCUCGGCCCAGUGCCAGCACCAUGCAUCAGGCCUACAGUG